rnacentral:lncRNA from 1 species
AGCUGCGGUUCUGCUGUGUCAUGCAAGAAGGAGGCGGCGGCGGCGGCCGGAGCUGGAGGGGGAGGAGGGGAGGAACCUGAUCCUCGGUAGCGAAGGGCUGGAGGCAAACACCGAGCUCCCCCUGAGCCGCCUGGGAGCAGGGAGGGUUCUGCUACCCUGAGGGGCCCUCCCCGCGGGGCAGAGGCUCAUCCUCGUCUACGGCCAAACGUUGGUUUCUCAUUUCUAGAAGAUGAAAGAUGUGAUGACUCAGGAAAAACUUGCUGCUCGAGAUGUGAGUCUUCAGAUGUUCCUGCCGCCAUAUCUGACAGCUGCUGCCAAGAUUCCCUGGUGGGAUGGACUCUUAUACCUCAACAACCAGAAGCCCAAGUAAACUCUUCUAUAAAUUGAAUGACUCAUGCUUAAAAAAAAAAACAAAAAACAAACUAUCUUUAU